AAUGGGUCAGCGACUUAUAUUCUGUAGCAAGGUUAACCGAAUAGGGGAGCCGAAGGGAAACCGAGUCUUAACUGGGCGUUAAGUUGCAGGGUAUAGACCCGAAACCCGGUGAUCUAGCCAUGGGCAGGUUGAAGGUUGGGUAACACUAACUGGAGGACCGAACCGACUAAUGUUGAAAAAUUAGCGGAUGACUUGUGGCUGGGGGUGAAAGGCCAAUCAAACCGGGAGAUAGCUGGUUCUCCCCGAAAGCUAUUUAGGUAGCGCCUCGUGAAUUCAUCUCCGGGGGUAGAGCACUGUUUCGGCAAGGGGGUCAUCCCGACUUACCAACCCGAUGCAAACUGCGAAUACCGGAGAAUGUUAUCACGGGAGACACACGGCGGGUGCUAACGUCCGUCGUGAAGAGGGAAACAACCCAGACCGCCAGCUAAGGUCCCAAAGUCAUGGUUAAGUGGGAAACGAUGUGGGAAGGCCCAGACAGCCAGGAUGUUGGCUUAGAAGCAGCCAUCAUUUAAAGAAAGCGUAAUAGCUCACUGGUCGAGUCGGCCUGCGCGGAAGAUGUAACGGGGCUAAACCAUGCACCGAAGCUGCGGCAGCGACGCUGAUGCGUUGUUGGGUAGGGGAGCGUUCUGUAAGCCUGCGAAGGUGUGCUGUGAGGCAUGCUGGAGGUAUCAGAAGUGCGAAUGCUGACAUAAGUAACGAUAAAGCGGGUGAAAAGCCCGCUCGCCGGAAGACCAAGGGUUCCUGUCCAACGUUAAUCGGGGCAGGGUGAGUCGACCCCUAAGGCGAGGCCGAAAGGCGUAGUCGAUGGGAAACAGGUUAAUAUUCCUGUACUUGGUGUUACUGCGAAGGGGGGACGGAGAAGGCUAUGUUGGCCGGGCGACGGUUGUCCCGGUUUAAGCGUGUAGGCUGGUUUUCCAGGCAAAUCCGGAAAAUCAAGGCUGAGGCGUGAUGACGAGGCACUACGGUGCUGAAGCAACAAAUGCCCUGCUUCCAGGAAAAGCCUCUAAGCAUCAGGUAACAUCAAAUCGUACCCCAAACCGACACAGGUGGUCAGGUAGAGAAUACCAAGGCGCUUGAGAGAACUCGGGUGAAGGAACUAGGCAAAAUGGUGCCGUAACUUCGGGAGAAGGCACGCUGAUAUGUAGGUGAAGCGACUUGCUCGUGGAGCUGAAAUCAGUCGAAGAUACCAGCUGGCUGCAACUGUUUAUUAAAAACACAGCACUGUGCAAACACGAAAGUGGACGUAUACGGUGUGACGCCUGCCCGGUGC
rnacentral:rRNA from 1 species